AUGAAACACUCCUACGGGAGGCAGCAGUGGGGAAUAUUGCACAAUGGGCGCAAGCCUGAUGCAGCGACGCCGCGUGAGGGAUGACGGCCUUCGGGUUGUAAACCUCUUUCACCAGGGACGAAGCGUGAGUGACGGUACCUGGAGAAGAAGCACCGGCCAACUACGUGCCAGCAGCCGCGGUAAUACGUAGGGUGCGAGCGUUGUCCGGAAUUACUGGGCGUAAAGAGCUCGUAGGCGGUUUGUCGCGUCGUCUGUGAAAUUCUGCAACUCAAUUGCAGGCGUGCAGGCGAUACGGGCAGACUUGAGUACUACAGGGGAGACUGGAAUUCCUGGUGUAGCGGUGAAAUGCGCAGAUAUCAGGAGGAACACCGGUGGCGAAGGCGGGUCUCUGGGUAGUAACUGACGCUGAGGAGCGAAAGCAUGGGGAGCGAACAGGAUUAGAAACCCUAGUAGUCCGAAGUUC
rnacentral:rRNA from 1 species